GACAGAGGGUGCAAACGUUGUUCGGAAUUACUGGCGUAAAGCGCGUGUAGGCGGCAGGGCAUGUCGGAUGUGAAAUCCCGUGGCUCAACCACGGAAGUGCACCCGAAACUGCCCAGCUUGAGUCUCGGAGAGGAAGGCGGAAUGCUUGGUGUAGAGGUGAAAUUCGUAGAUAUCAAGCGGAACACCGGUGGCGAAGGCGGCCUUCUGGACGAUGACUGACGCUGAGACGCGAAAGCGUGGGGAGCAAACAGG
rnacentral:rRNA from 1 species